rnacentral:tRNA from 1 species
GCCGGGGUGGCCGAGCGGCCCAAGGCGCGGGACUUGAGAUCCCGUCCCCGUCCAGGGGGCGUGGGUUCAAAUCCCACCCCCGGCG